CUGGCAUCCCCCCAGCCCUCUCUGAGUUCCGACCCGUCCCGGCUCCAUCCCCGCCGCUCCCGCGGGCUGCGAGGGCUCCGGCAGCGGGCGAGGAGGAGGAGGGAGGGAGGAAGAGGCGGAGCGGCAGCAGAAGCAGCAGGAGGAGAGGACGGGGAACCGCGCGGCUCCGGCGCUGCCUGAGCUCGCAGCACCCCGGGAGCAUCGCCCCCCAUCCCGCAGGUUUCCCAUUCCCAAACCUAGGCUGAAUAGAGAAGGAGGCUUUCAGAAAGGAAUAUGCCCCAGGACACCCAGGCAGACAAGGAGCUGAGGAUGGAGACCAGGGAGGACAAAUCCCCACAGAAGAACCAUGAGGAAGAGGCUAUUUUGAGUGACUCCAUGGCACAGGAUGUCAACAGGGAGGAAAAUCAUUGGAGAUCCCACAGGAGGAGGGGCUGUG